GCUAACAGCGCAUAGCCAAGCGCUAGCCUUUAGGUGUAUUGUCCCCUUUCACUUGUUCGCCAUUUUUCAGUAAAGCUGAAUCAUGGAUUCGAUCUUCAACUUGUGUGAGUUCUUCUUCACCUCACGCUACAAUAUGAAUACUUAUGCGAUGUUAUUUAGCAGUUCUGUCCGUUUUACGGAUGUUUGUGGAACAACAGAACAAGGCAAAGGAAUGACUGUUAUUGUGGUAAGUAAUGAUUAACCUCUGCUUUUUUGUUAGCUUUUAAUCAGUAAUGAAGUGUGACUGGUUCAUCACUUUACUUUAGGGGGCACAAACAUUAUGAAUCCAUCAU